rfam:Solenopsis invicta Si_gnG.contig19872, whole genome shotgun sequence.
AAAAAGGGUACUCGCUACUUCAAUAGCGCAUCAUGUCGAUUUAAUGUCAGCAUGGUGGGGUAUGGCUAUCAAGACAUACCCAGUACGUAAUUUUUGUAAACGCGAGGCUGUUGGCUGCCACAAGCACCGGCGCCUCC